rnacentral:rRNA from 1 species
AUAAGUAAUGUGAAUUGCAGAAUUCAGUGAAUCAUCGAAUCUUUGAACGCACAUUGCGCCCCUUGGCAUUCCUUGGGGCAUGCCUGUUCGAGCGUCACU